GGGGCCGUAGCUCAUAUGGGAGAGCAUCUGCUUUGCAAGCAGAGGGUGGCGGGUUCGAUCCCCGUCGGCUCCACCA
rnacentral:tRNA from 1 species